UACGGGGGGGUGCAAACGUUGCUCGGAAUUAUUGGGCGUAAAGCGCACGUAGGCGGCUCGUUAAGUCGGAUGUGAAAUCCCUCGGCUCAACCGAGGAAGUGCAUCCGAAACUGGCGAGCUUGAGUAUGGAAGAGGGUCUCGGAAUUCCCGGUGUAGAGGUGAAAUUCGUAGAUAUCGGGAGGAACACCAGUGGCGAAGGCGGAGACCUGGGCCAAUACUGACGCUGAGGUGCGAAAGCGUGGGGAGCAAACAGG
rnacentral:rRNA from 1 species